UUUCUCCUCUCCUCUCCUCCUUAACUCUUUUUUCCCUCCAUGUGUCCUACACAGUCUGUGCAAGUAGAUUCACUCUUUUGAUUGCACUGAAGGAGCCAGUAAGACUCGCAUCUCCUUCUAUCACCUUCAUCAACAUCAUCAUCACCUUCAUCAUCAUGAUCAUCUUCUUCUUCUUCUUCUUCUUCUUCUUCUUCUUCUUCUUCAUCAUCAUCAUCAUCAUCAUCAUCAUCAUCUCCACUGUCAUGACAAACUUCACCUCAUGUUAACCUUGUGAAACAGCAAAAAGGAAGGCCCUCUCAUUGGCCGACACCAUCUCCUGAUCACCACAGACCGCACAACGGCUGUCACCCCAUAUGACGUGUGGAACACCGCUGCUCACACGCACAUCUGACUCCCGCGCUCCUUCAUCCCCCCAGAAUCACCCAGAAGCUCUGGCAGGCCAAAUCCAUCACUGGGAAGGACGCAGAAAUAAAACCUUAUUGAACUUUUUAAAUUAGA